AGUUUUCUUAGAAAAUGGAAAAUGGAAAACAGAGAAAUUUUUUUAUAUGAGUAAACAGGCCCUAAUAUUUUCCUAGUUAAUUUUACUUUUGACAAAUGUUCUGGAAGACUUCUAUUGAAGAUCAGUUGGAGUCAUGAGACCAUAGGUUUGGUUGUUCUAAGUUGGGGCUUGGAUAGAAAAUACUAAUAUGUAGUACACUGUCAAGAAAAACUGAACUGAUUUUGAGAAGUCAAAUACUGUUGUUGGUUCUUUCCAUAUAUACGUUAGAUUAAUAUUUGACGAUUAGAGUUUAUUUAGUUUUUAGGAGAUGAUCCGCUGAUUCUGGUGAUAGCUUCUUGACCCAUUUGCUAAAAUGUAACUCAAAACAAGCAUGUUUCUAAGCUGCAUGCCCCAUUUGUUUAUGAUAUAAUUCUGUGAGCAGAUACCACUCACAGAUCCUUGAGCUUAUGUUGUUCACUAAGUAUGGAUCAUUUCCUUCUCAUGGUGUUUGCACAAUAAUUACUUUUCCAAUCCAAUGGUUUGCUUUUGCCAGAUGCAUGCUAGGUGAAAGCAGA
rnacentral:misc_RNA from 1 species